rnacentral:misc_RNA from 1 species
UUGUGGAGGAGGACGCCGAAGGUGGGGCUAAUGACUGGGGUGAAGUCGUAACAAGGUAGCCGUACCGGAAGGUGCGGCUGGAUCACCUCCUAACAGGGAGACAACAAAAUGUUAAAUAUUAAUUUUGUCACCUUAGGUCGAUCGGUAUCUCACAUUCUUAAUCAAUUUAAGAAUUUUAUUUCCUAAGUUUUUCUAGGUCACACCCAUCAUUUUUCCUGGGCCAUUAGCUCAGGUGGUUAGAGCGCACCCCUGAUAAGGGUGAGGUCCCUGGUUCAAGUCCAGGAUGGCCCAUAUCUCUAUGUUGGGGGUAUAGCUCAGUUGGUAGAGCGCCUGCUUUGCAAGCAGGAUGUCAGCGGUUCGAGUCCGCUUACCUCCACUGAUUACCACCUCUACCAUAAAUUUAAGGAAUUAGUAUUGAGAUGUGAUUAUUCUGAACGAAUCCAGCUUCCUAAUAAAAUAUUAAGAUGCUGGACUCAUUGAAUUUAUUCAUUGUUUUCAGAGAACCUUGACAACUGCAUAGAUUAUUUUUAAAGACAAUAAGCAUCUUUUUGAUGCAGAUUUAUUAUUUUUGCUAUUGCAUUAAUAACAAUUCUAUUAAGCUGAUGCUUCAAUUUUUGAAGUUAUUGGUCAAGCUACAA